rnacentral:rRNA from 1 species
GACGAACGCUGGCGGCGGGCUUAACACAUGCAAGUCGGACGGUAAGGCCCUUUCGGGGGGACACGAGUGGCGAACGGGGGAGUAACACGGGAGUAACCUGCCCACAACUUUGGGAUAAGGCGAGGAAACUGGUGCAAAUACUGGAUAUAUGCCCUUGCUGCAUGGUGGGGGUUGGGAAGCUCCGGCGGUUGUGGAUGGAUUCGCGGCCUAUCAGCGUGUUGGUGGGGUAGUGGCCUACCAAGGCGGCGACGGGUCGCCGGCCUGGGGGGGUGACCGGCCGUUUUGGGACUGAGAUGCGGCCCAGACUCCUACGGGGGGCCGCAGGGGGGAAUCUUGAACCAUCCGCGCCAGCCUGAUGCAGCAACGCCUCGUGCGGGAUGGCCGCCUUCGGGUUGUAAACCGCUUUCAGCAGGGACGCAGCUUUUUGUGACGGUACCUGCAGAAGAAGCACCGGCUAACUACGUG